AACGAACGCUGGCGGCAGGCUUAACACAUGCAAGUCGAACGAUCCUUCGGGAUAGUGGCAGACGGGUGAGUAACGCGUGGGAACCUUCCCUAUGGUACGGAAUAGCUCCGGGAAACUGGAAUUAAUACCGUAUACGCCCUUCGGGGGAAAGAUUUAUCGCCAUAGGAUGGGCCCGCGUUGGAUUAGCUUGUUGGUGAGGUAAUGGCUCACCAAGGCGACGAUCCAUAGCUGGUCUUAGAGGAUGAUCAGCCACACUGGGACUGAGACACGGCCCAGACUCCUACGGGAGGCAGCAGUGGGGAAUAUUGGACAAUGGGCGAAAGCCUGAUCCAGCCAUGCCGCGUGAGUGACGAAGGCCUUAGGGUUGUAAAGCUCUUUUGGCGGGGACGAUAAUGACGGUACCCGCAGAAUAAGCCCCGGCUAACUUUCGUGCCAGCAGCCGCGGUAAU
rnacentral:rRNA from 1 species